CAGCCGCCACGGUAAUACGUAGGGUGCGAGCGUUAAUCGGAAUUACUGGGCGUAAAGCGUGCGCAGGCGGUUCGUUAAGACAGAUGUGAAAUCCCCGGGCUUAACCUGGGAACUGCAUUUGUGACUGGCGAGCUAGAGUAUGGCAGAGGGGGGUAGAAUUCCACGUGUAGCAGUGAAAUGCGUAGAGAUGUGGAGGAAUACCGAUGGCGAAGGCAGCCCCCUGGGCCAAUACUGACGCUCAUGCACGAAAGCGUGGGGAGCAAACAGGAUUAGAUACCCCCGUAGUCCCUGUCUCUUAUAA
rnacentral:rRNA from 1 species